rnacentral:rRNA from 1 species
UACAGAGGGGGCGAGCGUUGUUCGGAAUUACUGGGCGUAAAGGGCGCGUAGGCGGCCCGCUAAGUCGAACGUGAAAUCCCCAGGCUCAACCUGGGAACUGCGUCCGAUACUGGCAGGCUUGAAUCCGGGAGAGGGAUGUGGAAUUCCAGGUGUAGCGGUGAAAUGCGUAGAUAUCUGGAGGACACCGGUGGCGAAGGCGGCAUCCUGGACCGGUAUUGACGCUGAGGCGCGAAAGCUAGGGGAGCAAACAGG